rnacentral:rRNA from 1 species
UGGGGAAUAUUGGACAAUGGGCGAAAGCCUGAUCCAGCCAUGCCGCGUGUGUGAAGAAGGUCUUCGGAUUGUAAAGCACUUUAAGUUGGGAGGAAGGGCAGUAAGCGAAUACCUUGCUGUUUUGACGUUACCGACAGAAUAAGCACCGGCUAACUCUGUGCCAGCAGCCGCGGUAAUACAGAGGGUGCAAGCGUUAAUCGGAAUUACUGGGCGUAAAGCGCGCGUAGGUGGUUCGUUAAGUUGAAUGUGAAAGACCCGGGCUCAACCUGGGAACUGCAUACAAAACUGGCGAGCUAGAGUAGGGCAGAGGGUGGUGGAAUUUCCUGGGUAGCGGUGAAAUGCGUAGAUAUAGGAAGGAACACCAGUGGCGAAGGCGACCACCUGGGCUCAUACUGACACUGAGGUGCGAAAGCGUGGGGAGCAAACAGG